rnacentral:rRNA from 1 species
UGCCUAACACAUGCAAGUCGAACGCUCCCUGUAGCAAUACGGGGGGAGUGGCGGACGGGUGAGUAACACGUAGCUCAUCUACCCUGGGGCGGGGGAUAACGGCUGGAAACGGUCGCUAAUACCCCAUACGCUGGGAGACGGUAGGGGUCUCUCAGGAAAGCUACGGUGUCCUGGGAUGAGGCUGCGGCCCAUCAGCUAGUUGGCGAGGUAACGGCUCACCAAGGCGACGACGGGUAGGGGGCCUGAGAGGGUGGUCCCCCACACUGGAACUGAGACACGGUCCAGACUCCUACGGGAGGCAGCAGUGAGGAAUAUUGCGCAAUGGGCGAAAGCCAGACGCAGCAACGCCGCGUGGAGGAAGACGGCCUUCGGGUUGUAAACUCCUUUUCUGGGGGAAGAAGCUGACGGUACCCCAGGAAGAAGUCUCGGCUAACUACGUGCCAGCAGCCGCGGUAAAACGUAGGAGACGAGCGUUAUCCGGAUUUACUGGGCGUAAAGCGCGUGCAGGCGGUUGGGAAAGUCGUGCGUGAAAGCUCCUGGCUUAACUGGGAGAGGUCGUACGAAACUACCCGGCUAGAGGGCAGGCGAGGGGUGUGGAAU